rnacentral:rRNA from 1 species
CCCGCUCAGAAACUCAAUGAAUUGACGGGGCCGCACAAGCGGUGGAGCAUGUGGUUUAAUUCGACGCAACGCGCAGAACCUUACCAGCCCUUGACAUGGGGGUCGCGGGUACCAGAGACGGUACCCUUCAGUUCGGCUGGACCCCACACAGGUGCUGCAUGGCUGUCGUCAGCUCGUGUCGUGAGAUGUUGGGUUAAGUCCCGCAACGAGCGCAACCCUCAUCUUCAGUUGCCAGCGGUUAGGCCGGGCACUCUGAAGAAACUGCCGGUGACAAGCCGGAGGAAGGUGGGGAUGACGUCAAGUCCUCAUGGCCCUUAUGGGCUGGGCUACACACGUGCUACAAUGACGGUGACAACGGGAAGCGACAGGGCGACCUUGAGCUAAUCCCCAAAAGCCGUCUCAGUUCGGAUUGUACUCUGCAACUCGGGUGCAUGAAGGCGGAAUCGCUAGUAAUCGCGGAUCAGCACGCCGCGGUGAAUACGUUCCCGGGCCUU